CAUGGUAGGCAGUUUGACUGGGGCGGUCUCCUCCCAAAGUGUAACGGAGGAGUUCGAAGGUACGCUAGGUACGGUCGGACAUCGUGCUAAUAGUGCAAUGGCAUAAGCGUGCUUAACUGCGAGACUGACAAGUCGAGCAGGUACGAAAGUAGGACANGAUCCGGUGGUUCUGUAUGGAAGGGCCAUCGCUCAACGGAUAAAAGGUACUCUGGGGAUAACAGGCUGAUUCCUCCCAAGAGUUCAUAUCGACGGGGGAGUUUGGCACCUCGAUGUCGGCUCAUCACAUCCUGGGGCUGUAGCCGGUCCCAAGGGUAUGGCUGUUCGCCAUUUAAAGUGGUACGUGAGCUGGGUUUAAAACGUCGUG
rnacentral:rRNA from 1 species